GCGCAUUCCGAGGGGUGCCCCGCAAGGGGCUGAGAUAGCGCGAGCUGACCCUUGAACCUGAUCCGGGUCAUGCCGGCGUAGGAACGGGAAUCACCAUGGGC
rfam:Rhodanobacter spathiphylli B39 contig030, whole genome shotgun sequence.